AUUGAACGCUGGCGGCAUGCUUUACACAUGCAAGUCGAACGGUAACAGGUUAAGCUGACGAGUGGCGAACGGGUGAGUAAUGCAUCGGAACGUGCCCGGUCGUGGGGGAUAACGCGGCGAAAGCUGCGCUAAUACCGCAUACGAUCUGAGGAUGAAAGCGGGGGACCGUAAGGCCUCGCGCGAUCGGAGCGGCCGAUGUCAGAUUAGGUAGUUGGUGGGGUAAAGGCUCACCAAGCCAACGAUCUGUAGCUGGUCUGAGAGGACGACCAGCCACACUGGGACUGGGACACGGCCCAGACUCCUACGGGAGGCAGCAGUGGGGAAUUUUGGACAAUGGGCGAAAGCCUGAUCCAGCAAUGCCGCGUGCAGGAAGAAGGCCUUCGGGUUGUAAACUGCUUUUGUACGGAGCGAAAAGGUCUCCUCUAAUACAGGGGGCUCAUGACGGUACCGUAAGAAUAAGCACCGGCUAACUACGUGCCAGCAGCCGCGGUAA
rnacentral:rRNA from 1 species